AUUGAACGCUGGCGGCAUGCCUUACACAUGCAAGUCGAACGGCAGCACGGGGCAACCUGGUGGCGAGUGGCGAACGGGUGAGUAAUGCAUCGGAACGUACCUUUCAGUGGGGGAUAACGUAGCGAAAGUUACGCUAAUACCGCAUAUUCUGUGUGCAGGAAAGCAGGGGAUCGCAAGACCUUGCGCUGAUUGAGCGGCCGAUGUCAGAUUAGCUAGUUGGUGAGGUAAAGGCUCACCAAGGCGACGAUCUGUAGCGGGUCUGAGAGGAUGAUCCGCCACACUGGAACGGAGACACGGUCCAGACGCCUACGGGAGGCAGCAGUGGGGAAUGUUGGACAAUGGGGGCAACCCUGAUCCAGCCAUGCCGCGUGAGUGAAGAAGGCCUUCGGGUUGUAAAGCUCUUUCGGCCGGGAAGAAAUCGCACGGGCUAAUACCCUGUGUGGAUGACGGUACCGGAAUUAGAAGCACCGGCUAACUACGUGCCAGCCGCCGCAGUAACAC
rnacentral:rRNA from 1 species